rnacentral:rRNA from 1 species
GAUGAACGCUGGCGGCGUGCCUAAUACAUGCAAGUCGAGCGAAUGGAUUAAGAGCUUGCUCUUAUGAAGUUAGCGGCGGACGGGUGAGUAACACGUGGGUAACCUGCCCAUAAGACUGGGAUAACUCCGGGAAACCGGGGCUAAUACCGGAUAACAUUUUGAACCGCAUGGUUCGAAAUUGAAAGGCGGCUUCGGCUGUCACUUAUGGAUGGACCCGCGUCGCAUUAGCUAGUUGGUGAGGUAAUGGCUCCCCAAGGCAACGAGGCGUAGCCGACCUGAGAGGGUGAUCGGCCGCACUGGGACUGAGACACGGCCCAGACUCCUACGGGAGGCAGCAGUAGGGAAUCUUCCGCAAUGGACGAAAGUCUGACGGAGCAACGCCGCGUGAGUGAUGAAGGCUUUCGGGUCGUAAAACUCUGUUGUUAGGGAAGAACAAGUGCUAGUUGAAUAAGCUGACACCUUGACGGUACCUAACCAGAAAGCCACGGCUAACUACGUGCCAGCCGCCGCGGUAA